rnacentral:rRNA from 1 species
GGCGAACGGGUGAGUAACACGUGGGCAAUCUGCCCUUCACUCUGGGACAAGCCCUGGAAACGGGGUCUAAUACCGGAUAACACUCCUGCCUGCAUGGGUGGGGGUUAAAAGCUCCGGCGGUGAAGGAUGAGCCCGCGGCCUAUCAGCUUGUUGGUGAGGUAGUGGCUCACCAAGGCGACGACGGGUAGCCGGCCUGAGAGGGCGACCGGCCACACUGGGACUGAGACACGGCCCAGACUCCUACGGGAGGCAGCAGUGGGGAAUAUUGCACAAUGGGCGAAAGCCUGAUGCAGCGACGCCGCGUGAGGGAUGACGGCCUUCGGGUUGUAAACCUCUUUCAGCAGGGAAGAAGCGAAAGUGACGGUACCUGCAGAAGAAGCGCCGGCUAACUACGUGCCAGCAGCCGCGGUAAUACGUAGGGCGCAAGCGUUGUCCGGAAUUAUUGGGCGUAAAGAGCUCGUAGGCGGCUUGUCACGUCGAUUGUGAAAGCUCGGGGCUU